UAAGCGUGAUGAUGGUGGCUUUUGCCUAGUCUAGCUUAGAUGUUAAAUCAUC
rfam:Lactobacillus johnsonii NCC 533, complete genome.